CUUCAGACAGCGGUUUCUCCCAGCACGGGCCGCUGUUUCAGGCGAUACCGGUCCCAAACGAACCACCUCACUUCCCUCUAUCAGUUCUGCCCCACCUCAGCCUCCAUCCGCAACUGCAGUAGCCGGAAACAGCCACGAAACAGGCCGGUUCCAACAAUUUUUCUGGAAUUUUUGGGAGCUCGUUCUCCCUUAAUUCUUCUCCGAAUUGGACGAGUAAGGCAUCAGAGGCCAAACUGAACCACAGGAGGGACCUUCAAGAGGUCCAGCUAGCUCGGACCAGCAGUGAGUGGACCUUUCGUUUUUUAAAUGAUUUUCUGAAUCAGUUUUAUUCAGUGUGAUUUAUUCCUAUGAAUUUAAAGAUUCCUUUUAUACAUUGCUUAGCUGAUUUUGCUAAAGUUAUUUGGACAGCAGACUUUGAGAUUUAUGAUUCAGAAAUAUCUAGCUCAGAUUUUAUCAGAAUACAGAGGAUAUCAGAUUUUAUCCAAGAUACUUAUUUUAGACCACCAUGAAUUACCGAAAGCAGAGUUUGAGUUUUCUAUCAGAUAAAAAGGGCAGCACAGUUAUAGAUUGAAUAAAGAUUCAGUUAUUCAUCAGAUCUUUCAGAAAUAUUAUGAUAUUUAUAUUUG